rnacentral:rRNA from 1 species
UACGAACUGUGCGAACGUUAUUCGGAAUCACUGGGCUUACAGGGUGCGUAGGCGGCUUAGCAAGUCAGGUGUGAAAGCCCCCGGCUCAACCGGGGAACUGCGCUUGAAACUGCUGGGCUCGAGUCAGCUAGAGGUACACGGAACUUCCAGUGGAGCGGUGAAAUGUGUUGAUAUCAGGAAGAACACCAACGGCGAAGGCAGCUCGCUGGGACGGAACUGACGCUGAGGCGCGAAAGCGUGGGGAGCAAACAGG